CUAUACAUAGCCACAAGGGGAGCAGGACCUUACUGAAGGCUGCAAUAGCUGCUCUAUCCACAGAGGGCAGCACCACAGACAGGUGAGGAGGCCGAGGGUAAUACGUCACACCGGCUCCGCCCACUCCUUCCGGGCCAUGUGCAUUCUACCAUAACAGUAAACAUCGAGCGAGGAGCUCGUUAGAAACUCUCGGCAGCCCAUACGAUAGGGUUAAUAUAGCUUUGGUCAGCUGGGAGUCGCUCAGCACGUGCAAAGACACGCUUCCACCUCCUUUUGCUCCAUAGUAUUAGUUUACCAUACCGAAAUACUUUACCAAAUAAAGUAACUGUUAAAAGCUAUCUCUGGAUUUGACGACUUUCCUUGAAGAACUUCUGCAUAUGGGACCCUUGAAAUUUUGUAAUUCCAGCAAGAGAAACACAAAGUUCCAGGGCCAGAGGAGGAGCCAGAUGCAGACACGCCCGGAGCCGACCAACUACCCAAGGAUGAUGCAAUCAGAUUUCGGCAGGGAUGGAUGGAGAGCCCAGUGAGCGAUGGGCACUACAGGUGCAGCGGGUGCCGUCCAGGCUUACCUUGGGAUCGAGUAUACACCGGAGAGUUUGGACGAGGGACCACCAGAGAGGCCCGACCUGAUCUGGCUGGAGAACAUGGAACAGACCCCUGCCCCACUGUCCAAGAGCCCCCACGCAAUGCAGCGCACCAAUACAUGAAGAUCAUCCGGCCCCUGCCCCACUGUCCAAGAGCCCCCACGCAAUGCAGCGCACCAAUACAUGAAGAUCAUACGGCCCCUGCCCCACUGUCCAAGAGCCCCCACGCAAUGCAGCGCACCAAUACAUGAAGAUCAUCCGGCCCCGGCGUCCUGUUUCCACCACCGUAUGCUGAAACCCCACCACCACACCCCCCCCCCCUCGCC
ensembl:lncRNA